AACAGGGAUCUGGCUGUUCAUUCAAGGACUGUGUGUUCAAGCCAGCUGACUAACUCUUCCAUUCCCUCCUCUUUUGCUCCUACCUACCUGAUUACCUACUCUAACAUCACCAAUUUCUUCCCGAAGUGACAUGCCGGUACCAGCUGGGGAUCAUGUAUGCAAUAUCUGCCUCCUCACAUCUUCCACCUAGGAUGGCUUUAAUUCUCUUCAGGGAGAAUUUAUUUCAGUUUUUUCCAGGAAGGAAAACCACAUCUCUUGCCCAUAUUCUUAGAUUAUUGUUAAAAAUUAAACUUGGUUGUAUGAAAUAUUAAUAU